GGGUUGUGAGGUUAAGCGACUAAGCGUACACGGUGGAUGCCCUGGCAGUCAGAGGCGAUGAAGGACGUGCUAAUCUGCGAUAAGCGUCGGUAAGGUGAUAUGAACCGUUAUAACCGGCGAUUUCCGAAUGGGGAAACCCAGUGUGUUUCGACACACUAUCAUUAACUGAAUCCAUAGGUUAAUGAGGCGAACCGGGGGAACUGAAACAUCUAAGUACCCCGAGGAAAAGAAAUCAACCGAGAUUCCCCCAGUAGCGGCGAGCGAACGGGGAGCAGCCCAGAGCCUGAAUCAGUGUGUGUGUUAGUGGAAGCGUCUGGAAAGGCGCGCGAUACAGGGUGACAGCCCCGUACACAAAAAUGCACAUGCUGUGAGCUCGAUGAGUAGGGCGGGACACGUGGUAUCCUGUCUGAAUAUGGGGGGACCAUCCUCCAAGGCUAAAUACUCCUGACUGACCGAUAGUGAACCAGUACCGUGAGGGAAAGGCGAAAAGAACCCCGGCGAGGGGAGUGAAAAAGAACCUGAAACCGUGUACGUACAAGCAGUGGGAGCCUCUUUUAUGGGGUGACUGCGUACCUUUUGUAUAAUGGGUCAGCGACUUAUAUUCUGUAGCAAGGUUAACCGAAUAGGGGAGCCGAAGGGAAACCGAGUCUUAACUGGGCGUUAAGUUGCAGGGUAUAGACCCGAAACCCGGUGAUCUAGCCAUGGGCAGGUUGAAGGUUGGGUAACACUAACUGGAGGACCGAACCGACUAAUGUUGAAAAAUUAGCGGAUGACUUGUGGCUGGGGGUGAAAGGCCAAUCAAACCGGGAGAUAGCUGGUUCUCCCCGAAAGCUAUUUAGGUAGCGCCUCGUGAAUUCAUCUCCGGGGGUAGAGCACUGUUUCGGCAAGGGGGUCAUCCCGACUUACCAACCCGAUGCAAACUGCGAAUACCGGAGAAUGUUAUCACGGGAGACACACGGCGGGUGCUAACGUCCGUCGUGAAGAGGGAAACAACCCAGACCGCCAGCUAAGGUCCCAAAGUCAUGGUUAAGUGGGAAACGAUGUGGGAAGGCCCAGACAGCCAGGAUGUUGGCUUAGAAGCAGCCAUCAUUUAAAGAAAGCGUAAUAGCUCACUGGUCGAGUCGGCCUGCGCGGAAGAUGUAACGGGGCUAAACCAUGCACCGAAGCUGCGGCAGCGACGCUUAUGCGUUGUUGGGUAGGGGAGCGUUCUGUAAGCCUGUGAAGGUGUGCUGUGAGGCAUGCUGGAGGUAUCAGAAGUGCGAAUGCUGACAUAAGUAACGAUAAAGCGGGUGAAAAGCCCGCUCGCCGGAAGACCAAGGGUUCCUGUCCAACGUUAAUCGGGGCAGGGUGAGUCGACCCCUAAGGCGAGGCCGAAAGGCGUAGUCGAUGGGAAACAGGUUAAUAUUCCUGUACUUGGUGUUACUGCGAAGGGGGGACGGAGAAGGCUAUGUUGGCCGGGCGACGGUUGUCCCGGUUUAAGCGUGUAGGCUGGUUUUCCAGGCAAAUCCGGAAAAUCAAGGCUGAGGCGUGAUGACGAGGCACUACGGUGCUGAAGCAACAAAUGCCCUGCUUCCAGGAAAAGCCUCUAAGCAUCAGGUAACAUCAAAUCGUACCCCAAACCGACACAGGUGGUCAGGUAGAGAAUACCAAGGCGCUUGAGAGAACUCGGGUGAAGGAACUAGGCAAAAUGGUGCCGUAACUUCGGGAGAAGGCACGCUGAUAUGUAGGUGAAGCGACUUGCUCGUGGAGCUGAAAUCAGUCGAAGAUACCAGCUGGCUGCAACUGUUUAUUAAAAACACAGCACUGUGCAAACACGAAAGUGGACGUAUACGGUGUGACGCCUGCCCGGUGCCGGAAGGUUAAUUGAUGGGGUCAGCGCAAGCGAAGCUCUUGAUCGAAGCCCCGGUAAACGGCGGCCGUAACUAUAACGGUCCUAAGGUAGCGAAAUUCCUUGUCGGGUAAGUUCCGACCUGCACGAAUGGCGUAAUGAUGGCCAGGCUGUCUCCACCCGAGACUCAGUGAAAUUGAACUCGCUGUGAAGAUGCAGUGUACCCGCGGCAAGACGGAAAGACCCCGUGAACCUUUACUAUAGCUUGACACUGAACAUUGAGCCUUGAUGUGUAGGAUAGGUGGGAGGCUUUGAAGUGUGGACGCCAGUCUGCAUGGAGCCGACCUUGAAAUACCACCCUUUAAUGUUUGAUGUUCUAACGUUGACCCGUAAUCCGGGUUGCGGACAGUGUCUGGUGGGUAGUUUGACUGGGGCGGUCUCCUCCUAAAGAGUAACGGAGGAGCACGAAGGUUGGCUAAUCCUGGUCGGACAUCAGGAGGUUAGUGCAAUGGCAUAAGCCAGCUUGACUGCGAGCGUGACGGCGCGAGCAGGUGCGAAAGCAGGUCAUAGUGAUCCGGUGGUUCUGAAUGGAAGGGCCAUCGCUCAACGGAUAAAAGGUACUCCGGGGAUAACAGGCUGAUACCGCCCAAGAGUUCAUAUCGACGGCGGUGUUUGGCACCUCGAUGUCGGCUCAUCACAUCCUGGGGCUGAAGUAGGUCCCAAGGGUAUGGCUGUUCGCCAUUUAAAGUGGUACGCGAGCUGGGUUUAGAACGUCGUGAGACAGUUCGGUCCCUAUCUGCCGUGGGCGCUGGAGAACUGAGGGGGGCUGCUCCUAGUACGAGAGGACCGGAGUGGACGCAUCACUGGUGUUCGGGUUGUCAUGCCAAUGGCACUGCCCGGUAGCUAAAUGCGGAAGAGAUAAGUGCUGAAAGCAUCUAAGCACGAAACUUGCCCCGAGAUGAGUUCUCCCUGACUCCUUGAGAGUCCUGAAGGAACGUUGAAGACGACGACGUUGAUAGGCCGGGUGUGUAAGCGCAGCGAUGCGUUGAGCUAACCGGUACUAAUGAACCGUGAGGCUUAACCUUACAACGCCGAAG
rnacentral:rRNA from 1 species